rnacentral:rRNA from 1 species
GUAGGGAAUAUUGGACAAUGGGCGAAAGCCUGAUCCAGCCAUGUCGCGUGAUAGAUGAAGGCCCUCUGGGUUGUAAAUAUCUUUUAUCUGGGAAGAAACUCCUCUAUUCUUAGAGGCCUGACGGUACCAGAGGAAUAAGCACCGGCUAACUCCGUGCCAGCAGCCGCGGUAAUACGGAGGGUGCAAGCGUUAUCCGGAUUCACUGGGUUUAAAGGGUGCGUAGGCGGGUUGAUAAGUCAGUGGUGAAAGCUCCGGGCUUAACUUGGAAACUGCCAUUGAUACUGUCAAUCUUGAAUGUCGUAGAGGUAAGCGGAAUGUUGCAUGUAGCGGUGAAAUGCUUAGAUAUGUUACAGAACACCAAUUGCGAAGGCAGCUUACUAUGCGAUAAUUGACGCUGAGGCACGAAAGCGUGGGGAGCAAACAGGAUUAGAAACCCGGGUAGUCC